UGAGGGAAUAUUGGGUCAAUGGGCGUGAGCCUGAACCAGCCAAGUCGCGUGAGGGAUGAAGGCCCUACGGGUUGUAAACCUCUUUUAUAAGGGAAUAAAGGACAUCACGUGUGAUGUUUUGCAUGUACCUUAUGAAUAAGCAUCGGCUAACUCCGUGCCAGCAGCCGCGGUAAUACGGAGGAUGCGAGCGUUAUCCGGAUUCAUUGGGUUUAAAGGGUGCGUAGGUGGCUUGUUAAGUCAGCGGUGAAAGUCAGUGGCUCAACCAUUGAAUUGCCGUUGAAACUGGCGAGCUUGAGUACGUACGGGGCAGGCGGAAUGCGUGGUGUAGCGGUGAAAUGCAUAGAUAUCACGCAGAACCCCGAUCGCGAAGGCAGCCUGCCAGGCCGUGACUGACACUGAUG
rnacentral:rRNA from 1 species